rnacentral:rRNA from 1 species
UACGUAGGGUGCGAGCGUUAAUCGGAAUUACUGGGCGUAAAGCGUGCGCAGGCGGCUUGCCAAGUCAGAUGUGAAAGCCCCGGGCUCAACCCGGGAAUGGCGUUUGAAACUGGCAGGCUAGAGUUUGGCAGAGGGGGGUGGAAUUCCGACGUGUAGCAGUGAAAUGCGUAGAGAUGUGGAGGAACACCGAUGGCGAAGGCAGCCCCCUGGGCCAAAACUGACGCUCAGGCACGAAAGCGUGGGGAGCAAACAGG